rnacentral:lncRNA from 1 species
CUCGGCCACGCGCUCACCGGCGCCAUCCAGGACGCCCUGGCCCGCUGGUGGUGGUGGAGCGGCGGCUCUGGCGCCAGGCGGGGCGGACGCGGCACCAGCUGGGGCGCGAGGCCUUCCUGCGCGAGGUCUGGCGCUGGAAGGAGGAGAAGGGCGACCGCAUCUACCACCAGCUGAGGCGCCUGGGGACCUCCAUGGACUGGGACCGGGCCUGCUUCACCAUGGACCCUGUGAGCGGGGCCGGGGGGGGCCGCGCCGCGCCUGGGGGCUGCAGCAGCCUGUGUGGGGCCUGUGGAGAUCUAUAGGGGGUUGCGGGGGGCUGCAGUGGUCC